UACGGAGGGUGCAAGCGUUGUUCGGAAUUACUGGGCGUAAAGGGCGCGUAGGCGGCCUCAUCAGUCCGGUGUGAAAGCCCGGGGCUCAACCCCGGAAGUGCACUGGAUACUGUGGGGCUUGAGUUCGGGAGAGGAGGGCAGAAUUCCCGGUGUAGGGGUGAAAUCCGUAGAUAUCGGGAGGAAAACCAGUGGCGAAGGCGGCCCUCUGGAACAGAACUGACGCUGAGGCGCGAAAGCGUGGGGAG
rnacentral:rRNA from 1 species